CUGCUUUGUGUACACAUUUCGUUGGAUUAUACUCCAAAUCCCUUCCACCAUCAUGUCAAUUAAAGGACAACAUGAGGAAAAAAAAAUAUACACAACACGUUAAACAAAUGAACUCAUUUUAAAAUACUUGCUUCUCCCAAUUCCAAAAUACUAGAUAUGGUGGUUGAAUGAUAAGAAAUUGAUUUUUUCUUCACGUGUUUUGCUGGAGAUGGGAACCUUUCACCUAUAAUGUUUAACACGCACGGUAAAGAACAAGGAAAUACAUACUGUAACAUUACUGAACAGUCACUGGUUUAAGAAAAGGAAAGUAGGAAAAAAGAGGAAAAUUAACGAUUUGCUAAGAAUAAUGAAACGACAUCAGUUUGUGUGAUUUUCAAUCCCAGCUGCUGAUUUGUUCUUAAAAGGAAUGAAGGAGUGAGAUAUGUUAACAUGAUUUGGUCAUGUUAUUUUUCCAUGGGAGAGGAUCUGCACUCUCAUUUGUCUGCAUAUGUAAACCCGGUGUCAUCUUUGUCAAACUUGUGUAGAUCAUGUUAGGUGCCUAGAAAAUAGAGCUGCAGAUAUAUCAACAAGAUAUCUUGGAAAUUGGUUCUGUGGAAAAGACUGUGAAACAUUAAAUCAAACUCCUUUAUUUCUUCUCAUUUUAGAAAAAUUUAGUCAUAGUGUACAUGAAUAAUUGCUUGUUCCUAUUUGUUAACCUUCAAGCUUUUUGUUUGGGAUUUGAUGAAAAGUGGGAGUCUCAAUGACCAUUUGUUUGGUUCUAAUGGGGUGAAACUCAGUUGGCCAAUCCAUCAGCAGAUUUGGCAUUGUCAGGGGUUGGCUUAUUUGCAUUUUUAAUUCAGGAGAUUGGGUGAGUGCAAACAGAAGGGUUAGUUUUUGGUUUUCAUUCAGGAACCAUGUCUGUUAGCAGUGAUAGGAGCAGCACUUCCAUUUUCAUCUUAGCUUGAGAACAAUCUAGCAUAAAGAUGUGCUUUUUUUUUAAGUUAAAAAGUAACUUUUAAGCCACAAAAAAGCUGGGCCAAAUGCACAUUUAUUUUGCUUACAUUCAUUGGAAGCAUCCUUUAACAUUUUUAAUGCCUGUUCACUGAAGCAAAAUUAUGUUUGUUGUCAAUACUUCUGCAUGUGAUUUUGGUCAACAAUACUUAGGCAAUUUCAUAGAAUUAGUGAUGUUACUUGUUAUGUUAUGAUUUGACAAGCAGAUGAAAUGUGCCAAAGAAACAAUUGUAGGUUGUGUCUUCAGUGAAGGUCUUCUAGGACAACUGUUCUACUUUACAUUAUGGUGUCUAUUUUUUGCAGAUAUAUGAGGGCCUUCAUAAAUUAUUAGGAGAGCCAGUUUCAGUGGGUGUGGACAAUCUAACUUGGAACAUUGGUGAACUUUAUCAACCCCGACAGUUGUGAACUUGAUAGUUGUAAAAGUGACUUGGCAGAAAGUUACAGCAAGCUCAAUCUUGCUCUUUCGGUGAUGCAUGAAUGUUUUGAGCCCCUAAAGGAAUCCUUCAUAAGCAAAGAUCUCAUGGAAGAUGUUAUAUUCAGCUGAUGGUCAGAGCUAAACCGAUUGAAUUUCCAGGGUUUCUAUACUGUGCUACUUGAGAGAAAUGAAGAACUCAUUAGUGUGACGGCUGUUAGGGUCUAUGGGAAGAAGGUUACUGAAGUACCUCCUGUUGGUACCAGAUUAGAAUAUCGUCCACAUGGAAUGUGUCACAUUUUAAUGAAAAAGCUUGAAAAGAAGCUCACGCAAUUAGGGGUGGAAGGGCUUAUUUUGCCUGCUGUUCCUAGUGUGCUAGAAACAUGGACCCGCUCUUUUGGCAUUGCAAAGAUGACUAAUCUUGAGAGAUCUCAAUUUCUGGACUACACUUUCCUAGAUUUCCAGAGUGCCAUCAUGUGUCAAAAGCUAUUGCCGAGUAAUCAAUCUCCAGAUCCAGUCUUGUUAAUGGAGUCACGAGCAAAAUGUGAUGUUUCUUCUAGAAGUUGCUGUGCUAACUUCAGUAAGCCUAGUCCAGUAUGUGAAUUAUACCCAAGUAGAAGAGAUUGACGAAGGAGGGAUGAUGGAUCAUUAAAUGGAGGAGCAAAAAUGAUCAUCAAGUUAUUGGUGCUAUUGAUCCAGUCACCAUUGUGGAGCAACCGAGUCUGGGGGAUCAACAGUGCCAGAAUGGAACAACCAGCUCAGAGUGCUCCAUUGAUAAAAAAGUUGACAGGAAUAAUGACCUGUAUAAGUGCGUCUACACGUGAAGGAAAGUGAGAAAGUGUGAAGGAUUUAGCAUGCCAUCAUGAGCUUGCUUGGAUUACAGGGAAUUGAAUUAGUACCAGUACAAGGAAGAUGAUCAAUUCUCCCAUCUGUCCACACUAGCUCCAGAAGUAGAGUUUUUGCCCAGAGUACGGACAACCUUGCAUAACUGCACUUUUGCAUACCACGCAUGGUGUUACAACCUUGCACCACUGCACUUUUGCCUUCAUCUGAGUUUUGUAUAGUAGAAAUGGUAAAUUUGAGUGAGGUCACUUGUAUUAACGUUACUUUUCUUACUUUAAAUGAGACAAUAGUUACACAUUGGAUAUUAUCUAAGAUUUGCAUCUAUUUAACGAUUGUUGG